AAUCAACGCUGGCGGCGUGCCUAACACAUGCAAGUCGAACGCGAAAAUGGAGCAAUCCAUGAGUAGAGUGGCAAACGGGUGAGUAACACGUGGGUGACCUGCCUUCGAGUGGGGGAUAACGUCCCGAAAGGGACGCUAAUACCGCAUAAUAUGCUGUCUUUUAAGAGAGAGACAUCAAAGCCGGGGACCGCAAGGCCUGGCGCUUGAAGAGGGGCCCGCGCCUGAUUAGCUAGUUGGUGGGGUAAUGGCUCACCAAGGCAACGAUCAGUAUCCGGCCUGAGAAGGCGGACGGACACACUGGGACUGAGACACGGCCCAGACUCCUACGGGAGGCAGCAGUGGGGAAUUGUUCGCAAUGGGCGCAAGCCUGACGACGCAACGCCGCGUGGAGGAUGAAGAUCUUCGGGUCGUAAACUCCUUUCGAUCGAGACGAAUGGCCCUUGGGAUAAUACCCUGAGGGAGUGACGGUACCGAGAGAAGAAGCCCCGGCUAACUCCGUGCCAG
rnacentral:rRNA from 1 species